rnacentral:rRNA from 1 species
CUUGGUCAUUUAGAGGAAGUAAAAGUCGUAACAAGGUCUCCGUAGGUGAACCUGCGGAGGGAUCAUUAACGAAUGGCCCUAGGCCUUCAACCUUGUAAACCUGUGGAAGCAAAACGUGCUUUGGCGCUUUCGGGCGCCAACUUUAUGCUUAGAUCAGUCUUGAUGUCUGAAUCAAAAACAAGAAAUAAAACUUUCAACAAAGGAUCUCUUGGCUCUCGCAUCGAUGAAGAACGCAGCGAAGCGCGAAAUGUAGUGUGAAUCGCAGAACAUUGUGAAUCAUCGAAUCUUUGAACGCACAUUGCGCCUCCAGUAACUUGGAGGCAUGCCUGUCUGAGCGUCAUUUAAAACCAUAGACCCUUCUGGGUUUGUAUUGGGCCUCGCCUCCGGGCGUAGCCUCAAAGUCAUCGGUCUUAUACGCGGACGAGCUCCAUUCGGACGGAACGUGUGCAGACCUUAAUACAUCUGACUUGACCUCAGAUCAGGUAGGACUACCGCCUGAACUUAAGCAUAUCAAUAAGCGGAGGA